GGAGCCUGCAGCCGAGGUAAAUUUGUCCUGAGCCCCAGGCAGCCUGGUCUCCAGCCACAUGGUCAAGCCAGGGCCUGGGGUUCUGGAAACUCCAAUGGGACCCUUUGGGCUGUGACAGGAGGGUUGUCUCGGGGAAACAGGGCGAUGGGGCUGGAGGCAAAAUCCAUUUUUGUAGGGCUUUAAGUGGCAAAUUGAGUUGAAACUGAGGGGUUUGGAAACCAAUGGGGAUUUUUAAAUGAAGACAUUUUAGGAGGGCUCAUCAGGCAGUGGGCCUCAGAAGGGACUGGAAAGGGAGUGCCAGAGGCAGGGAGACCUUAGGAGCUGCUGUGAUGUAGGCGAGAGUUGCCAAGGGCUGAGGGCAGCCGUGGUGGAGGAGCAGCAGCUGGAGGGUGUGGAGGCCUGGCAGGAGACACAGUGCUGGGGGCAUUGGAGGGGUUUUGUGCAAGGUGUGAGUGCAGGCCCAGCAGAGGCCUGGUGGGAGACACAGACGGGGUGGCUCCGGGUGGGAUGCAAGGUGUGAGUGCAGGUCCAGCACUCACUUUGCCUCUGGACCUCAGAUGCCGGGACCUUGGUCUGUUCAAUAAUGGGGCAGGACCAGGUGAUCACCAAGGUCCCUGGAAGUUCGGAGUUGUUGCUUUUGCCCCUGUAUUAGCCCAUUCUUGCAUUGCUACAAAGUAAUACGUGAGACUGGGUAAUUUAUAAAGAAAACAGGUUUAUUUGGAUCCCAGUUCUGCAGGCUGAACAGGAAGUGUGGCGCCAGCAUCUGCUUCUGGUGAGGCUUCAGGAAGUUUCCAAUCAUGGUGGAAGGGGAGCCAGAGAAAGAGAGGGCAGAAGCACCACACUCUUAAACAACCAGAUUUCCCGUGGACUCCCGGGGCAAGAACACACUCAUGUGGGAAGGGGAGCCGUUCAUGAGGGAUCCACCUGCACGAUCCAGCACCUCCCACCAGGCCCCACUUCCAACAUUGCGAUCACAUUUCAACAUGAGAUCUGGAGGGGACGCACAUCCAAACCACAUCAGCCCCAUUUGCUGAGAACCGACCACGUGCCAGGCCCAGCGCAGCCUCCUCGUGUGCACGCCUUGUUUCCUUGUUUAGAUAGGACCACAGCCCUGCCAGGUGAACAGUGUUACCCGUUUUACAGAUGAGCAGACUGAGGACCAGAGAAGCCCUGGAAGCUGCUCCAGCUGGUGAUGGAGUGUUUGGGGCCGAGAUUCACACUCCGUGCAGGACGCCACGGUCUACUUGUGCUCAUGUCUCCGAAUGUGACAGAGGGAGGGAGGCAUCCCAGGGCAGUGGGACCAGGGUAAGAGGGAGCAGAGAGAGUUCCAGCUUCCCUGCCACCAGCGUUUCCCAGCCGUCCUGCGUCUUGGCUUCACAGAAGGAGCCCUUCUGUGAGGCCCACCUCUUCUCCCUCCCUGCAAAUGCCGUGAGUCAAGGCCAUCUCGGUCUUGUUUCAAGAAGUAAAGCAAUAAUGCUCCUCCAAAGCUGACUGGGGGGAGCAGCAGCAGUGCAGCAGGUGGAGCUGCGAAAGGGGAGCUCUCGGGGUUCUAGACAAGCACCCCAAGUCUGGUUCUCCAGGUAAGCCCCUGCAAGGCCACCCACUUGGACUAGUGGCACGUGGGGCGAGUUUCAUUCUUCCUUCACAAGCGGUCGCCAGGGCUGGCAAAAUGUUGCACCACAAGGCUGCUGGCCAGCUAGGUGCCCUCCGCUCACCAAGACUCUCAGAAUUUGCGAGGUUCUCCAUUGCUAGUAACAAUAGGCCUGAUCUGUUGAGAGCCCACCUGUGCCAGCCUGCGCCUUGUACAAUUAUUAUCUGCAUUUUACUCCAGUGAAAGCUGUGGCUCUGAGAAGCCAGAGUCACAUGGAGAAUACUUGGAGCUGUGGGAUUUGAACCUCGGACAGUGCCAGGGCAGUGCCCUGGCCCUCUGCCCUGCAGGAGCCCCUCGGCUGCCAGUAGCCUGAGAUGCCAGCUGCUGGGCACCAUGGCCUGCCACUGACAGUUCUGGAUGGAGAACUGACUUGAGUUUGUGUCUCUACAGGUCUGGAGACCUGACCCGUCCAAGCUUUCCACUGGAGAGAGGAACGCUGGGGCUGGGUCCGUGCUGCGGCUCGCAGUCAAACGGUACCACCUGCAUCAGUGCUUUCCACACCUGAUCUAUCUCGAGCCUCAUGACAACUAUUAUCCAUUUGAAGAGGGGGAAACUGAGGCUCAGAAAGCUCAAGCACCCUCCCAAAAGCCAUGGGGGAGCGAGAACUCCCAUACAGGCCUUCCGGCUCCCCGUCCUGCCUCCUCCCACCAUGCCCAGAACUAGCACCUCCUGAGCACUUGCUCAAGCCAUGGUGAGAUCCAGAACCCGGCUGGAGCCAGGCUUCGGCCAGGCCGUGGCCACGCUGCCAUCUGACAAGCCCAGGGCCUGUCCCAACAAGACUGAGGCCCGUGUGGAGACAACUGCACAGUCGUGACCAGUUGUCCUGACAGACCUGCUAGCACCGCCCGAGGCUGGGAGGGCGCUAAGCCCCAGCCAUCCUGUGAUAGCAGCUUCACAAGAGACCCACGCCAAUACCACGUGGAACUGAAGACCCGCCCAGUGGAGCCUUGCUCAAAUUCCUGACCCGCAGAAUGGGACCUAGUAAAGAAGAUCCACUCUCUUCCCUGCGGGUGUGCCUCAUCCAACCCAUCGAGGAAGACUUCAUAGAACAAAGCGGCAGAUGAAAGGCCCAUUGUCGCUCUUUUCUCCUGAGCUGGAACAUGCAUUUCUCCUGCCCUCCAACGUCAGAGCUCCCGGUUGUAGGGCCUUUGGACUCAGCCUGGAACUUCCAUCAUCGGCUUUCCUGAAUCCCCAGUGUGCAGACAGCAGAUCUUAGGACAUUGUGGCCUAUGUAAUCACACGCCAAUCCCUCAUAAUAAAUUUCUUUCUACGGCUCUCUAUGCAUCCUGUUGGUUCCAUUUUUCUGGAGAACCCUAAUACAGUCAGGCACCGAGACACUGUCCCACGGCGGAAGG